rnacentral:tRNA from 1 species
AGUAUAGUAAGCUAAAUUUAAGCUAUUGGGCCCAUACCCCGAUUCAUGUUGGUUAAAAUCCUUCCUAUACUA